ensembl:lncRNA
GUCUUUACUGUUUUUUUGUAAGGGGACAGGUAAGUGUUGUUCUCUAUCCAUUUUCCCCUUCAAAAUUAUGUUCUAUGUAUGCCAUGUUCUAAGUAUGUCCCUGUGAAGUUUGUAUGUCUUUGUCACAUGUCUUUGUCACAUACAUACACAUUUGUCAAAUAAAAGUCUGUAAGCAUGCUUUGCUUUUUCAUUAACCUUGUCUUCUGUCUUGUCCUGUCUCACUAACACCCCACCCAUGACCUGUACCUUGACGUGGUGAGUGGGCUUUCAACUAAACAGGUCUUGCUUUGAAUGGUGUUAGUUAGCAGGUUUUUAAAACAAGUAUAUGCUUUGCAAUUUUUUUUAAUAUUUUCGCAGGUCUACAGAAUUUAACACAUCAAGACCCAAUACAUUUUGACUGACCACAGCAUACAGAGACCCUCCACCUGAAGAAUGACACCUAUCUUCCUGCAAUCACCCGACACUAAAUGUCUUACAUCAACAAAAAAAAACAAAAAAAAAUCCUGUACACUGGCAUAGUUCUGCAAUGUUGUCUAUUGAAUUGUAGUUAAAUUCUCUUCCACUCUUCUUUCCUUCUUUCACUUUUCUUCUGUCCUUCUUCCACUCUUCUUUCCUUCUUCCACUCUUCUUUCCUUCUUCCACUCUUCUUUCCUUCUUUCAAUCUUCUUUCUUUUCUUCUUUCCUUCUUCCACUCUCCUUUCCUUUCUUCUUUCCUUCUUCCACUCUUCUUUCCUUCUUCUACUCUUCUUUUCUUUCUUCACUCUUCUUUCCUUCUUCCACUCUUCUUUCCUUCUUUUACUCUAAUCUCCUUUCUUCUUUCCUUCUUUCUUUUCUUCUUCCACUCUUCUUUCCUUUCUUCACUCUUCUUUCCUUUCUUCUUUCCUUCUUUCACUCUUCUUUCUUUUCUUCUUUCCUUUCUUCACUAUUCUUUCCUUUCUUCUUUCCUUCUUCCACUCUUCUUUCCUUCUUCCACUCUUCUUUCCUUCUUUUACUCUUCUUUCCUUUCUUCUUUCCUUCUUUCACUCUUCUUUCUUUUCUUCUUCCUUUCUUAACUUUUGCAUUUAAUGCACUGGUAUUUCCUUCAGGAAAUGCAUUUUCUAGUUACAGUGCAUGAAAUGCCCUGUAUUGUUAUUCCUAGGCUUCUUAUUACAGUGCAUGAAAUGCCCUGUAUUGUU